GUGUUUGAUGUUCGUAUAUCAGACGUUGUCUUUGAUGCCUGAUGAGCCUUGGGACAUUUAGACACGGUCUUGGUUGACAAUGGUCUGUUUGUCACAUAGAGUAGUAUAGGGAAUGACAGUUCCCCUAUAAGCGUUAUUUUUGUAAAACUCCGUCCCCUGGCAGAGUGAAAAAUUAGGCAUGAAUGAUGGCGG